rnacentral:lncRNA from 1 species
GCACACACUAUAUACAAACAAAGUAGGCUCACACAAGGGUUAGGCUGUGAAACACAAGUCAACUGGCAUCGGGUGAUGUUAGCUCUUAACCCUAACAUUGAGAGUUAGGGUGAAGCAGAUGAAAUGGGAAGUGAGGGUAAGACCUCACAGCUCUUAUCCCUAGCCUGGGAGAGCUUGACUCAAAUAGAAGGUGUGGGAGUUAAGAAAGCAGGAACUCUUC